rnacentral:rRNA from 1 species
AUUGAACGCUGGCGGCAUGCCUUACACAUGCAAGUCGAACGGUAACAGGUCUUCGGAUGCUGACGAGUGGCGAACGGGUGAGUAAUACAUCGGAACGUGCCCGAGAGUGGGGGAUAACGAAGCGAAAGCUUUGCUAAUACCGCAUACGAUCUCAGGAUGAAAGCAGGGGACCGCAAGGCCUUGCGCUCACGGAGCGGCCGAUGGCAGAUUAGGUAGUUGGUGGGAUAAAAGCUUACCAAGCCGACGAUCUGUAGCUGGUCUGAGAGGACGACCAGGCAAACUGGGGAUUGGAAAAGGCCCAGACUCCUGCGGGAGGGAGCAAUGGGGAAUUUUUGAACAUGGGGGCAAGGCUGAUGCAGCCAUUCCGCGUUCAAGAUGAAGGCCUUCGGGUUGUAAACUGCUUUUGUACGGAACGAAAAGACUCCUUCUAAUAAAGGGGGUCCAUGACGGUACCGUAAGAAUAAGCACCGGCUAACUACGUGCCAGCCGCCGCGGUAAAAC